AACACCACUUGAAAUAUUAAGCAAAAUGAACUUCACGUGGGGACUACUUUUGAUUAUUGGCGCUGCCUUGGCAGGAAAUCCUUUGGACGAGUGGUUGGCACCAAGUGACAUUCAAGAAUGAGAUGAAUAAUAAAAAAAAAAAUUGUAAAAAUAUGUAAAUCUCAAAAUAUACAACUUACAGAACAUUACAUUAACUGUAUUAUAUUUAAUAAUAAAACAAGUAAGAAAGAUACCCGCUACCAUUUUGAAUAAAAGCUAAAAAGCGUGCUUUUAACAUACGAAUGUAGUAUAUGCUUAUAUAGUAGAGCCGCAGAACACAACUUUAAAUAUUAAGCAAGAUGAACUUUACUUGGGGACUACUUUUGAUUAUUGGCGCUGCCUUGGCAGGAACAACUGCCAAUUGGAUAGCACCAAGUGACAUUAAAGAAUGAAAAUAAAUAAUAUUAAUUCAUUGUUAUAUAUAUGAAAUGAAAAGUUUGCAAAAUAAAGAGCCUACAAAACAUUACAUUAAUUGUUUUUGAAAAACGUGAACAUAACAAUAUGAAUAUAAAUUAAAAAAAAAUACAUUACUCAUUUUCUUAUAAGUAAACGCACUAAAUUUAACUCUUUUAUUUUUAUUGUGUUCUGGACUCUAUUCUGAAACUUCUGCAGAUAUCAACUAAGAUUAAUUAAAAUUCGGAAUGUUUUUCUAUAGUAUUUUAUGAAUGUCUAGCAAUAAGUCUCCACUUUCAUGCCGUUGUGUACUGCCCUCUACAUACAUACUUGUACAUAUAUACGAGUACAUACAUUUUCUUGUUAUAUAAUAUAUCGACAAGAAAAGAUGUUUCAAAAUAAAAGAUUGCUAAUGUAAAUUGAAUGACUAGCCGUAUCUAAUUCAUAAUUUCAUUCGUCAAACCGUAAAAAAGUAUAUAAGAGACGCGAAAUCGGGACUUUGUAUAUACAGCAAAAUGAACUUCUCUUGGGGACUACUUUUGAUUAUUGGAGCUGCAGUGGCAGGAGUUAAUUGGGAUUACGAUUUGGCCCCCGGUGAUAUUCAAGAAUGAGUCGCAUAACUAAUGGCAGUCUAAUACAAAUUUGUUAAAUACAAAUAUGAGCAUAUCGAAAUAAACAGAUCAUACAA